rnacentral:rRNA from 1 species
UACAGAGGUGCCGAGCGUUAGGCGGAAUCACUGGGCUUAAAGCGUGUGUAGGCGGACUUCUAAGUACCUUGCGAAAUCCCACGGCUCACCCGUGGAACUGCUGGGUAUACUGGUCGUCUUGAGCCACCUAGGGGCGAGCGGAACAAAUGGUGGAGCGGUGAAAUGCGUAGAUAUCAUUUGGAACGCCAACGGUGAAAACAGCUCGCUGGGGGUGUGCUGACGCUGAGACACGAAAGCCAGGGGAGCGAACGGG